CCCCUAGAUGUUCUGGGCCGCACGCGCGCUACACUGAACAGUUCAACAAGUCUUAACCUUGGCCGACAGGUCUGGGUAAUCUUUGAACGCUGUUCGUGAUUGGGAUAGACCUUUGCAAUUAUGGGUCUUCAACGAGGAAUUCCUAGUAAACGCAAGUCAUCAGCUUGCAUUGAUUACGUCCCUGCCCUUUGUACACACCGCCCGUCGCACCUACCGAUUGAAUGGUCCGGUGAAAUCUCGGGACGGCGGCUCGGUCGCUUGCGUCCGACUGCUGAAACUUGAUUAAACCAUAUCAUUUAGAGGAAGGUGAAGUCGUAACA
rnacentral:rRNA from 1 species